UUUAUCUUAUGUAAGAUAGAAAGGAUGAAC
rnacentral:piRNA from 1 species